UCAUAGUUAGCUCAGUUGGUAGCGCGCUCCACUGGAAAUGGAGAGGUCCAUGGUUUGAUACCAGGACCUUGCG
rfam:Ixodes scapularis strain Wikel colony gcontig_1108379564323, whole genome shotgun sequence.